UCCCUACGGGGCGCAGCAGGCGCGAAAACUUUACAAUGCGGGCAACCGUGAUAAGGGAACCUCGAGUGCCUGUAUAUGCAGGCUGUCCAGGUGUCUAAAACACACCUGAAGAAAGGGCCGGGCAAGACCGGUGCCAGCCGCCGCGGUAAUUCA
rnacentral:rRNA from 1 species